AUUGAACGCUGGCGGCAUGCCUUACACAUGCAAGUCGAACGGUAACAGGUCUUCGGAUGCUGACGAGUGGCGAACGGGUGAGUAAUACAUCGGAACGUGCCCGCUCGUGGGGGAUAACGAAGCGAAAGCUUUGCUAAUACCGCAUAAGAUCUACGGAUGAAAGCAGGGGACCGCAAGGCCUUGCGCGACCGGAGCGGCCGAUGGCAGAUUAGGUAGUUGGUGGGAUAAAAGCUUACCAAGCCGACGAUCUGUAGCUGGUCUGAGAGGACGACCAGCCACACUGGGACUGAGACACGGCCCAGACUCCUACGGGAGGCAGCAGUGGGGAAUUUUGGACAAUGGGCGAAAGCCUGAUCCAGCCAUGCCGCGUGCAGGAUGAAGGCCUUCGGGUUGUAAACUGCUUUUGUACGGAACGAAAAGACUCUGGUUAAUACCUGGGGUCCAUGACGGUACCGUAAGAAUAAGCACCGGCUAACUACGUG
rnacentral:rRNA from 1 species